rnacentral:rRNA from 1 species
UGGGUAACCUGCCUCAAAGAGGGGAAUAGCCUCCCGAAAGGGAGAUUAAUACCGCAUAAUAUGUUUUAGUCGCAUGACUUAAACAUCAAAGGAUUUUCUUUUAAGAAAUUCCACUUUGAGAUGGACCCGCGGCGCAUUAGCUAGUUGGUGAGGUAACGGCUCACCAAGGCAACGAUGCGUAGCCGACCUGAGAGGUGAUCGGCCACAUUGGAACUGAGACACGGUCCAGACCUCCGUAGGGACGG